UUAGUUCAGUAAAAGUAACUACACUGACACCUGUGAAAAUAUCAGGAGAAGAUCUGUCAUUUCUUUUAGGUGCUCUCAGCUAAAAUCUGAACAUUAUCUGAAGAAGGGAAGAGAAAAUGCACCAAGAUCUGAAAUCAAACUAAAGCUGUUUGAUAAUCAGCUUGGUUCUUCAGAGAAGAUGACUCAUCCCAGUAUGAUGACAAAGGUCACUAUGUGAUGGAUAUUCCUGGUCCAACUCCGGAAAGGCCUGUCAUUGUGUGGAGGGGUGAGAUGGAAGGAUUGAGAACUUUGUCAAGUUACUGCAAUCUGGGAUAUGUGUUUAUUGCUUACAUCCCCAAAGUCGAGAUUAAAAAGGAAACAACAGGAGCAAGAGAAAUCAGGCCGAGAAAAUUUGCAAGAACAGAUAUUUUGACUCUUUCUUUGACCAAACAUUAAUAAUUGGAGUAAAACUGAAAAUAAAAUUUGAACUCUUGGGAAACCCCA
rnacentral:lncRNA from 12 species